rnacentral:rRNA from 1 species
ACGUAGGGUGCAAGCGUUAAUCGGAAUUACUGGGCGUAAAGCGUGCGCAGGCGGUCCUUUAAGACAGAUGUGAAAUCCCCGGGCUUAACCUGGGAACUGCAUUUGUGACUGAAGGGCUAGAGUACGGCAGAGGGGGAUGGAAUUCCGCGUGUAGCAGUGAAAUGCGUAGAUAUGCGGAGGAACACCGAUGGCGAAGGCAGUCCCCUGGGCCUGUACUGACGCUCAUGCACGAAAGCGUGGGGAGCAAACAGGAUUAGAUACCCUGGUAGUCCACGCCCUAAACGAUGUCAACUGGUUGUUGGGUCUUCACUGACUCAGUAACGAAGCUAACGCGUGAAGUUGACCGCCUGGGGAGUACGGCCGCAAGGUUG